GCAGUGGAUUGUGAAAUGCUUGAAAAUGGGAAUCGUAGGACCAUUAUUUAAUGCCAAGUGUUAUCCACAUCAUGUCUGAAGCUCGAACAUGCCAGAAGAGCAUCCUUCACAUUCUGCAGCUAAUCUAUGCAGGCUCUCAGGAUUAAUCGUGAGUUGGCUGGAGUCAGUGUGGAUCCUCUAUAGAAAUGCUGAUCAGAUGAACAGCCUAAUGCGAUGAAGAUGUUACAGCAAUGCAAAUCCAGGUCAGAGUGAAUUUCUCCCUGUUCUGAGGCCAUGUUGUUGUUAUUUGAAAACUCACAGAGCCCACAGAACUGCAGAAGAACAAGCACAAGCCUUGCCUAUCCUACUUCAUCUCCAAUCAGCCAAACAAGCAGGCUAGCUUUGGAGUCCUCCAGGGUCAUUUUAUUUUUAGGGCUGAUGCCUGAAGCAGGAAGAAAACAGCAUGAUCUGUAGGUUCUGCUUUGAGCUUCCAGUGCUGGCAGCAAAAACCAACAUAUUUUGACAUGCAAGCUGAGUUUAACCAAUGGCAAAAAACAUAUACGCCAGUAAGUUGCCAUAUUUUGAGUGUUGCUAUUCAGAACUACAGUACAGUUCCUUGUCUAUCAUAGAUUUACUUUUGA